rnacentral:lncRNA from 1 species
CCAACAUUAUUUUUGUGCAGAUUUCAAUUCAUGCUGCACUCAUCCUGGGGGCAAAAGUUAAAGGUUUUCUAAAAAGCUACUUAGUGAAUGUCUUAGUUAAUGGAAAAGAAAAUAAGUCAAUCCUUUUUUUUCUAACCUUGAAGUUGCAAAGAUUGACAAUGAACUCUGUAAUGGUGCAUUCUCCUCUUGUGUGGUUUUUGAAAGCUGAGUUAUCCUUCCUGUAAUGAUUCUGCACCUGCAAACUAUACGUGGCUUCCUCCAGGCAGUAAAUCUACAGCCCAGGCUCCCUGCAUCUUAUGGCUCCAAUCACUUUGGAUCUCAUCGUCGCCUGCACAUUGCCAUACACAGGGAAGGAGAAGAGAUGGAGAAGGCAAAGACUUUCUGAAAGCCGUGGCUAAAAGCUGGCAUGUGUCACAUCAGCUCACAUUCCAUUGUAGAGACGGGGUUUCACCGUGUUAGCCAGGAUGGUCUUGAUAUCCUGACCUCGUGAUCCGCCCGCCUUGGCUUCCCAAAGUGCUGGGAUUACAGGCGUGAGCCACCGCUCCCGGCCUGGCAGGCAUUCUUGAGGCAAACGGGAAAUGGGGUAAGUUACACAAUCGAUACAGCUCCGUCAUCGUGGUUUAAUUACUUUUCCACGUACCAUGUUUCCUGACAGGUAGAACGAUCAGCCUGGGCCUCCGUUUUUCAUUCUACAAAGAAUGAAGUGCAUGAACUGUCCUCUAUAGAAUUGUGGAAAAAGUUGUUUUUAUUGAGUUGUGGUUAUCUUUGUCUUCAUGGUCUAAUUACGGAAAUAAAUGCUUUUCCGAGUCUCCGGGGAUGGUCUGCCCUAGUCCAGCUCUCUGCAGUGUCUUUCUGGGUUUUUCCUCAGUGAACGGGAGGAACAUUGGCAGCACUUGUGGUCUGCACCAAGAACUGAAUCGAAUUUCCAUGUGUUAUUGAAUGUUCACAAAGACCUUGUACAGCGAGUGUUACUACCUCUGGUCAAUGAUUCAACUCAAGGCUCAGAAAAGUCAAGUGUCUUGUCCAGGGACACUUAGUCAGAAGUGAAUCCAAGGUUUAAGCUCAAGUCUGCCUAACUCUGAAUUUCACAGCCUUUUGCUACAUAUGGCGAAUAAUAUAUCCCUGAGCACUAAAGGCAGACUCCAAGGAUCUUGUCUCUGCAAUCAUCAUUCUGGCCAUAAUUUAUGAAAAGCAACCCAAAGUAUGUGAUGUAAUAAAAAGUACUAUCUAUGAGUUUACCCUUCCAAAAAUUGAACUGAAUUCUGAGCUCUAAAUUUGGAAUCAAAAGAACUUUUCUCUGCACUAAUCAUUUGGAACAUCACUUAAAGAAAACAACGAAAAACUGGUGUCCCCUGAGAGAAAGCAAUACAAAACAUUAUGCAUAAAGAAAUCCUUCCAAAAAAUAAACCAAAUCCAGUCAAAUCUCUAGUUUUGACUCCUAGCUUACCGGAAAUACGUGAUGGGAAAAAAAUGAAAUGACACCACUAUGAUUCAAUCAGCCAAAUCCAGCAUAUGCAAAUUUCUACCAGAUAAAUGGUUUAGUUUCUUCCCCAAACAAAUGGCACAAGGAAACGGAGGUAAGAAUGGGAUGCUGUUAUAGAUUUUAAAAGAUUUAAGAAAGUAUAAACUAAAUACACUAUGUGCAUCCUCUCUGAACGUGCUUCAAACAUAUCAAGGGGUCAAUGAGCAGUUUUGAAACAAUAAGGGAAUUUGAACACUGAAUGGUUGUCAGAAGAUAGUAAGAGAUCAUUAUUAAUUUUACUAGACAUAAUGAUGUUCUGAUUUUGUUUUUUUUUUAAAAAAAAAACAGUGUUAUUUCCUUUAUAGAUACAUCAUAUAGUAUUAACUAAUGAAAUGCUUUGAUAUCUGGAACGUUUAAAAAAUAUUCCCGAUGGAGUAAGUGCAAAGAAACAGGUAAGCAAAAUGCUGAUAAUUGCUGAAACACAGGAUGUGUACCUGGGGCUUCAUUUACUAUCUCUUCAUUUUCUAUUUUGAUAUUUGUUGGACAUUCUCAUAAAAAGGAAAGUUAUGUUUUAUUUUCUCAUAAGCUAGUAAUGAAAUAGCCCUACGUAACUGAUAUUGUAGAGACAAGAAUAGGUGUAAUAGAGCUUAAGGUUUUCAUUUAAAAAACUAUCUGUAGACUUCAAUGGAUCUUAGGUGGCAUCCAUGCAAUAACACUCGUGGAACAUGCAGGACAGGUGUGGAGCUCCAUCUUCACACAGUGACAUUUUUUAUGCUUCUGUUUUCCCUAAGAGUGGAGUGAGAGGAUGAUUAUUUUAUAUCAUGGACUUCUUCCCUGCUAUACUUUUUUUAAUUAUUUUACUUUCACUUCUGGGAUACAUGUGCUGAGCAUGCAGGCUUGUUUACAUAGGUAUACAUCUGCCAUGGUGGUUUGCUGCACCUAUCAACCCAUCAUACAGGUUUUAAGCCCUGCAUGCAUUAGGUAUUCGCCCUAAUGCUCUCCCUCGCCUUUCCCCCCACCCCCUGAUAGCCCCCAGUGAGUCAUAUUCCCCUCCCUGUGUCCAUGUGUUCUCAUUGUUCAACUCCCAUUUAUGAGUGAGAAUAUGUGGUGUUUAGUUUUCUGUUCCUGUGUUAGUUUGCUGAGAAUGAUGUUUUCCAGCUUCAUCCAUGUCCCUGAAAAGGACAUGAGCUCAUUCUUUUUUAUGGCUGCAUAGUAUUCCACGGUGUUAUAUGUGCCACAUUUUCUUAAUCCAGUCUGUCAUUGAUGGACAUUUGGGUUGUUUCCAAGUCUUUGCUAUUGUAAAUAGUGCUGCAAUAAACAUAUGUGUGCAUGUGUCUUUGUAGUAGAAUGAUUUAUAAUCCUUUGGGUAUAUGCCCAGUAAUGGGACUGAUGGGUCAAAUGGUAUUUCUGGUUCUAGAUCCUUGAGGAAUUGCCACACUGUCUUCCACAAUGGUUGAACUAAUUUAUACUCCCACCAACAGGGUAAAAGCAUUCCUAUUUCUCCACAUCCUCUCCAGCAUCUGUUGUUUCCAAAUGUUUUAAUGAUUGCCAUUCCACCUGGCGUGAGAUGGUAUCUCAUUGUGGUUUUGAUUUUCAUUUCUCUAAUGACCAGUGAUGAUAAGCUUUUUUUCAUAUGUUUGUUGGCCACAUAAAUGUCUUCUUUUGACUUUUAUGUGGAAACAAAUUUAACUGCACAGAGAGGUGAAAAUUAAUUAAUAACUUUUAAAGUAAUUCCCUAAGUUUCUAAGGAUCUAUAUGUUUCCAUCUGACUUUAUUUUAUUUAAGCUCUUGAUUGAUGCUGCAUUUGGAGCAGGUUCAUGAACAUGAAUAGAGUUAAUCUGGGACAGAUUUCCCUCAUUUGAUUUUUUCACUGUUUCCAUCACAGAACUUAUUUCAUGCUCACCAUGUUUGCAGGCAUUGAGCUUGGUACUGGAGCCACAGAGCUGGAUCAGACAGACUUGUGCAAAUAUUUCAGGUUUUUUUUGUGGGGGGGUCAUAUUUAUAGAUAAAUAACAGUAAAGAGUGACGGGUUCUUAUGAAAAUGCAUACACAGUGAAGUAGAGGGUGAAAAGGAGGGAUGUGUUCUAUGAGGAGGAAGAGUGAUAAGAAAGUGUAAGGGGAUGUGUCUGUGUCUAGACAUAUGUGUGUUCACGUGUGUGCGUGCUUGUGUGUACUGCAUGUGUAUAUGUGUGGCCAUGCACCUGUGUGCAUGUUCAUGUGUGUGUGUGUAUGUGUCUGUGUUGAGGACUAAAUUAAUUGGGCUUAUGGAAGCAGGGAGCCACUGAUAGGUUUAAUUAGAGACUGACAUGAUAUGAUAGUUUAGGUGGAUUUCUCUGGGGGCUGUGUUGAGGGACAGUGGGGAGGAGAGCUAGAAGGAAGAAAAGGACACAUGCAUAACAGAAGCAAUAUCUGUCUAUGGGAUGGUGGAAAGAAUCAGAAAAGACUUAAUAAAACAUGUGACACUUUAACUGAAUCUUGAAAUAGACAAGUGUUGGAGGAGGGAGUUGGACCAGAUACUUCAUGCAAAGGGAAGAAAAGUGCACAAACAAAAUAUGAGAAACAAGGCAGACAGGCAUUUUUUUAAAAUUUUCGCACCCACUGAUAGACCAGUGAUGCAUUCACAUCGUCUGCAUUCAUGAUCAACAAAAGUGCUUUCCUAGAACAUGAACCUCAACCCAAGUGUCGCCUCAAGUAGUGUAUGCAUGAACUCAAGCAUUAAAUUAGAAUUGAUUUUUUAAAAAACUCACACAAACAGAUGUAUUAUUUAAAAAUCUUUAAAGCAGGUUUAAACAGUUUUCAGGAUUAAAAGCAGCCACUAUUAGAAAGAACAAAAAUACAUUUGACAUAAAUAUAAGGAGCCUCAAUAGAACCUCCUGUACCCAGUCAUUGUCAAUGCCACAUCCAUUCAUUCACCAGCCCUUAUAUCAAUGCUUGCUGGGCUCACUUACCACGAUCAGCACGUGCAUGUCCUUAUCUGAAAGCUUGCCACUCAAAUGUGCUCAGUCUUACCUGUGUGGCUGGGAGUGUUGGGGAUUUAAUGUCAAGGGAAAGAAUCUUCCAUCAAUGAAUGAUGAAAGUUAGUUUUCACAACUUCCGGUCCCCUUGGCCCUCAUCAAAGGGCUCCAGGUGAGGUUUGGGCUCCUUGCUAUCCUCCGAGUUUCCACGGUAGUUUUAAGCACCAUUGCCCGUGGUAAUGGCUGACAUUGAUACUGCACUUUUUUUUUAUUUAAGAUGGAGUUCCCCUCUGCCACCCAGACUGGAGUACAGUGGCGCGAUCCUGGCCAUCGCAACCUCCGCCUCCCAGGUUCAAGCGAUUCUCCUGCCUCAGUCUCUCAAGUAGCUGGGAUAUGGGCACCUGUCACCAUGCCCAGCUAAUUUUUUUAAAAUUUAUUUUUAGUAGAGAUGGGGUUUCACCAUGUUGGCCAGGCUGGUCUCGAACUCCUGACCUCAGGUGAUCCACCCACACUUUUUAUUGUUUGCCUACACUUUCUAGACUUGCUUCAUCAGCCUACUCCGUUUCUGGUUGAUAUGGUUUGGUUGUGUCCCCACUCAAAUCUUAUCUAGAAGUGUAAUCCCCAAGUCUCAAGGGAGGGACCUGGUGUGAGGUGAUUGGAUUGGGGGGUGGUUCCCGCCAUGCUGUUCUCAUGAUAGUGAGUGAGUUCUCAUGAGAUCUGAUGGUUUUAUAAGGCAGUUUUCCCUAUUCUUGCUCACUCUUCUCUCUCUUUCUGCCAUGUGAAGAAGGUCCUUGCUUCCCCUUCACCUUCUACCAUGAUUGUAAGUUUCCUGAGGCCUCCCCUCAGCCAUGCACAACUGUGAGUCAAUUAAACCUCUUUCCUUUAUAAAUUACUCAGUCUCAGGUCGUAUCUUUAUAGCAGUAUGAGAAUGGACUAAUACACUGGUCUAUCCUUCAUCCAAAUUAACUACCUGCACUGCAGUCCUUGUCUCAGGCUCUGCUUUGAGGGACCCCAACUGUGACAGCCGCAUUAGAAUGCAUCACAUACUGCAGUGAAAUUCUAGAGUGGGUGUUGUCAGGUGGUGAUGAUUGUUAGAUAUGUCAGUCUGUUUUCAGGCUGCUGAUAAAGACAUACCUGAGACUGGGUAAUUUAUAAAGGAAAAGGAGGUUUAAUGGACUCACAGUUCCACAUGGCUAGGGAGGCCUCACAAUCAUGGCAGAAGGUGAAAGGCACGGCUUACAGGGUGGCAGCAAGAGAGGAAAUGAGAACCAAGUGAAAAGGUUUCUGCUUAUAAAACCAUCAGCUCUUGUGAGACUUAUUCAUUACAAUGAGAACAAUAUGGGGGAAACUGCCCCCAUGAUUCAAUUAUCUCCCACCAGAUCCCUCCUACAACACAUGAGAAUUGUGGGUGCUACAAUUCAAGAUGAGAUUUGAGUGGGGACAAAGUCAAACCAUAUCAUUAGAUAGGACACUGGAGAAAGGCAAGAAAGAAAAGACAUCUGAAGAAUGAAGGGAGCCAAAGAAAUGCCAACAUUUUGCUUUUUGAAGAAAAGCUAAAUUAAAGUCAAAAUGGAUUUAUCAAUUUCCUUGGGUUCGUGAAUGUACAGAACUUUAUUAAGGUAAGUCAAAACUUCUCUUUUUAUACUUAACCCAACUCAAAUUGGCUUAUGUAGGGGAAACAAGAAAUCAAAACCCAAAGGAACAUGCCAGUUCAGGAAUAUACAGUUAGCUAAGCUUCUUACUGAACAAAUAAAAUCACAAAGCAUGUAUGCAGAUAGACCACAAGUGACUAUAGUGAGGUAGUUUAUUUCAGCUCUAUUUAUCUGGAAUUAAUGCUACACCAUCUGACAUAUUAAGCAGUUAUGCAUCAGGUAUCAGUAGUUACAUCUUCCAGUGCCUCUUACAGUUGCCCCUGAUGGUAUAUCUACUCGAAAGUAUGUAAGUGCACUCACAUUCUUCAACAUUUCCUCAUUAAAGCCAGAUGGAAUUGGGCUUCUUAUACUUGCUAUUCAUUCAUUUAAUAUUAUUAGAGUGUCUACCAUGUAGUAGGCAUUUUCUGUAAAUGCUGGGGAUAUCUUGAUAACAAAGACAAAACCUUUCCCCACAUAGAUCUUAAAUUUUAGUGCGAAGAGAAAGACAAUGACUAUUUUGAAGUUACGAAGGGGAUUUGCUGAUUUGAAUGCCUACUUAGGAGAUUCAGAAGUGGUUGGAUUUAGGUGCUUAGAUUAAGUCAUCAGGAAUUUCCACCUUCUACCCAUAACAGUGAGCAUCUGAAACUUACAAAACAAUAUUUCCUAUUUUACUUCAUUUUAUUUUAGAGACAGGGUCUUGCCUGUUGCUCAGUCUGGAAUGCAGUGGCACAAUCAUAGCUCACUGCAGCCUCAAUUUCCUGGGCUCAAGGGAUCCUCCCAAAGUGCUGGGAUUACAGGUAUAAGCCACCAUGCCCGGCCAAGAUACUCUAUUUUUAAUUUACAGUUUAUAUCAAGACACUGAGCCAGGGGAAUUUGAAGUCACCCAUCCAGUGGUCUUAGCAUCUUUGCUCACACACUGAAUGACUUGAUGUAAAUGACUGAAUCAGACUUGUUUGCUUAUAGCUGACACCACCGAGCAAACAUAUUCUCUCUUUCUCUGGGACAACACCUGAUAUGGUCUGGCUCUGUGUCCCCACCCACAUCUCAUCUUAAAUUGUAAUCCAAAUUGUAAUCCCCACAUGUUGGGGGAGGGACCUCAUGGGAAGUGAUUGGAUCAUGGUGGUGGUUCCCCCUGUGCUAUUCUCGUGAAAGUGAGUGAGUUCUCAUGAGAUCUGAUGGUUUUAUAAGGGGCUCUUCCCCCUUCAUUUUGCACUUCUGUCUCCUGCUGCCUUGUGAAGAAGGACAUGUUUGCUUCCCCUUCCACCAUGAUUGUAAGUUUCCUGAGGCCUCCCCAGCCAUGCCAAACUGUGAGUUAAUUAAACCUCUUUCCUUUAUAAAUUAUCCAGUCUCGGGUAUUUCUUUAUAGCAGCAUGAAAAUGGACUAAUACAGCACCUAUCUCCCAGUAUUGUAUUUUCACAAUGGAAGUUUUAAUCCAGGGAUGUCUAAUCUUGUGGCUUCCUAGGCCACACUGGAAGAAGAAUUGUCUUGGGCCACACAUAAAAUACACUAACACUAAUGAUAGCUGAGAAGCUAAAGAAAAAUCACAAAUAAAUCUUACAAUGUUUCAAGAAAGUUUACGAAUUUGUAUUGGGCUAUCCUGGGCUGCGUGCAGCCAUGGGCUAUGGGUUGGACAAGCUUGGUUUAAUCCAUAGAUGGAGCAUUCUACACAGCUCCCUUAAAGAUGUUCCAGAAGUGCUGACUCUGUGUCAGGCACCAUGUUCACCACUUAGAUGUUCGUUUAAUCCUUACAAAAGAGCCAUGGAGCAUGGACUGUUACUGUGGCAGAUGUGUUAGCCUCCUGUGGUUGCCAUAACAAAAUACUACAAACUGCGUGGCUUAAAACACCAGGAAUUUAUUCUCACUGUUCUAAAAGACGGAAGUCCGAAAUCCAGGAGUCAACAGGGCUGUGCUCCUUUUUGAGGCUCUAGGGAAGAAUACUUCCUCCCCUCUUCCAGCUUCUGCUGGCCACAGGUGUUCCUCGGCUUGUGGCCACAUCACUCCAAUUGCUGCCUCCAUCCCACAUAGCCUUCUUCCCUAUGUGUGUGUUCUCACAUGGUCUUUGUAUAAGGAUAUCAGUUAUGGGAUUUAGUUCCUACCAUAAUCCAUCAUGAACUCUACUGCACUAAUUACGUCUACAAAGGCCUUAUUGCCAAAUAAGGUCACAUUCUGGGGUUUCAGGUGAAUAUAAAUUUUGGAAGGACACUAUUCAACCCAGUACAACAAGUAAAAUUUAAAAAGGCACCCUUUUACCUUGGCAUGUUAUCUCACUUGAUUUUUAUAACAGCCCUGUAGAUUAAACAGAUAAUAUGUUAUAUUCCCACUUCUAGAUAUCAUCACCCAUUAUUUGAGAGAAUGGAAAUGAAGUUCAGGGCUGUUAACACUCCUGCCACUGAAACAUCCCAGGCCAGUGACCUUUUCAUGUCUGACCUAACAGGUGGUUUCCAACCACAGUUACUUGUGACAUCAUUCCAUCACUCCCCAUACACAUUCCCUGUAGAUCAACUUAUCUGGCCCUACAAUUAUAGUUACAGGGAAUUUUACAUUCUUCAUCUUCCACAGGCAACUGAAUCUUCUGGGACAAAAAGCAUAUGUUCUCCCAUAGUAAUAAAAUUUCCCUUUUUUAGCCUGGCAUGUGACUGCCAAUAAUAACACUUCCCAGACUCUCAGGUGUCCACGUCUAUCCAAAGGGAAAUAUAGUCAGUGAUAACUUCCAGACAUAGAUGAAACAUGCCACACCUUAUAGUCACUUUAUGGGGUUCAUUCUCUCUUCCCAUAGACUGUCAUGCUGUCAUCAUGGCUGGAUCUGAUACGGCCACCGUGGACCUUGAGGUGACCUCGGGAAUGGAGACAGUGCAUGGGAGAGAAUCACAUUGGAAGGGGCCUGGGUUUCUGAAGACCCUGUAAGACAGAUCUCCUUGCAGCCCUGACUGCCCACAUUAGGGCUUUUAUGUUAGGGUGAAGUUACCUUGCAUUGUCAUAUAAGCAAUUGCUAUUUGUGGUGUCUUGCAAAUAAACCUAUUCUGAUCUAGUAUGUUUCCUAA